rnacentral:rRNA from 1 species
CCUACGGGGGGCAGCAGUGGGGAAUAUUGGACAAUGGGGGCAACCCUGAUCCAGCCAUGCCGCGUGUGUGAAGAAGGCCCUCGGGUUGUAAAGCACUUUCAGUGAGGAAGAACGCCUGGUGGUUAAUACCCAUCAGGAAAGACAUCACUCACAGAAGAAGCACCGGCUAACUCCGUGCCAGCAGCCGCGGUAAUACGGAGGGUGCGAGCGUUAAUCGGAAUUACUGGGCGUAAAGCGCGCGUAGGUGGCUUGAUAAGCCGGUUGUGAAAGCCCCGGGCUCAACCUGGGAACGGCAUCCGGAACUGUCAAGCUAGAAUGCAGGAGAGGAAGGUAGAAUUCCCGGUGUAGCGGUGAAAUGCGUAGAGAUCGGGAGGAAUACCAGUGGCGAAGGCGGCCUUCUGGACUGACACUGACACUGAGGUGCGAAAGCGUGGGUAGCAAACAGGAUUAGAUACCCCAGUAGUC